AGUGAACGCUGGCGGCAGGCUUAACACAUGCAAGUCGAACGGGCGCACAGUAAUAGCAGGCUCUUACGGGUGGCGAGCGGCGGAGGGGUGAGGCAUACAUCGGAAUCAACUCUUUCGUGGGGGAUAACGUAGGGAAACUUACGCUAAUACCGAAUACGACAUACGGGUGAAAGCAGGGGAUCUUCGGACCUUGUGGGUUUGAAUGAGCCGAUGUCGGAUUAGCUAGUUGGCGGGCGAAAGGGCCACCAAGGAGGCGAUCAUUAGCGCGUCUGAGCGGAGGAUCAGCCACACUGUAAGUGAGACACGGUCCAGACUCCUGCAGUAGGCAGCGGUCGGGAAUAUUGGACAAGGGGCGCGUGCCUGAUCCAGCCAUACCGCGUGGAUGAAGAAGGCCUUCUGCUUCGUAAGCCCUUUUGUUGUGAAGGAAAUGCAGCAGUUUAGGACCCCGCUGUUCUGACGGUACCCAAAGAAUAAGCACCGGCUAACUUCGUG
rnacentral:rRNA from 1 species